GACGAAGGGGGCUAGCGUUGUUCGGAAUUACUGGGCGUAAAGCGCGUGUAGGCGGUUGUUCAAGUCAGGUGUGAAAGCCUUGAGCUCAACUCAAGAAAUGCACUUGAUACUGGAUGACUAGAGGACCGGAGAGGAUAGUGGAAUUCCCAGUGUAGUGGUGAAAUACGUAGAGAUUGGGAAGAACACCAGUGGCGAAGGCGGCUAUCUGGACCGGAACUGACGCUGAGGCGCGAAAGCGUGGGGAGCAAACAGG
rnacentral:rRNA from 1 species